GAUGUGUUGGCCUUGGCCUGUGCUCUCUCCUUGACCCGCUGCUGAGCUCCAAUUCCCUUUCUCCCGUCACCGUGGGAUACCUGGCUUGAUUGACAGCUCUAAAGAGUGCAGCCACCCGUGGCCAGGACGGCAGUAACGGCCACGACGCCAGCGUUUCAUUCGCACCAAACCCAGUGGCGGAACCAUGAUGAAGAUGAGAUGGAUUUGGACUGGAUUUGCCAUUUGGAUUUGCAUGAUGGUUGCCAGGUCCACGUCACAAAUCCCCCCCUCUGUUUGACCACUGAAAGAUGUUCACUGACGUUUCAGAAAAGGGAGAAGCUCACUUUGCCCUCAAGGACCCUCAACACUGCAGGAUUACUACACACUUUAUGGCAAGCCCCAAAAGGUCUGUGCCCAGGUGAGUGUGCACCUGUCUCAACUGCCAUAUACUCCCAAACUCACACGCACACACACACACACACACACACGCGCACGCACACACACACACACACACACACUGGAGCAGAUCUUCCUAUGCUGCCAAUGGAUGUUACUGUAUCGUAUAUGAAUGAGUUUGCUGACACACCUCCUGCUAACAACAUAACCUGUUGGCACACUUCUUUUAUAUUAUCCAUAAUUCUAGCGUGUUAUAUGGCUGGAGAUUGUUUUUGUCUAACUGGCUAG
rnacentral:lncRNA from 1 species